AUUGGACUUCUCAAGCCUAUGUCUUUUUUUUCAUAGUAAAGUCCUCCACAAUUUUUCAUUGCUUGAGUAGAGCUGAUACGAUUCUGCAUCUCCUACCAGGAGUGCAAUGAAUAUUUUAGCUAUUUGAUUUGUAAUGAUGAAAUUUUGAUGUUGACCAAAACUUCAGUGCAGUAUACUCAUUGUUUGGCUUCAUCAACAUACUGUAAACAUCAUUAAAAUCUUGUACGUGCCUUUUCCCCUU
rnacentral:lncRNA from 1 species